rnacentral:rRNA from 13 species
AUUGUUUUGACGUUACCGACAGAAUAAGCACCGGCUAACUCUGUGCCAGCAGCCGCGGUAAUACAGAGGGUGCUAGCGUUAAUCGGAUUUACUGGGCGUAAAGCGUGCGUAGGCGGUUUGAUAAGUCGGUUGUGAAAGCCCCGGGCUCAACCUGGGAAUUGCGGCCGAUACUGUCAGACUAGAAAACGGUAGAGGGAGGCGGAACUCCAGGUGUAGCGGUGAAAUGCGUAGAUA